rnacentral:rRNA from 1 species
UACGUAGGGUGCAAGCGUUAAUCGGAAUUACUGGGCGUAAAGCGUGCGCAGGCGGUUCUAUAAGACAGAUGUGAAAUCCCCGGGCUCAACCUGGGAACUGCAUUUGUGACUGUAGAGCUGGAGUACGGUAGAGGGGGAUGGAAUUCCGCGUGUAGCAGUGAAAUGCGUAGAUAUCCGGAGGAACACCGGUGGCGAAGGCGGCUUCCUGGACCGACACUGACGCUGAGGCGCGAAAGCUAGGGGAGCAAACGGG